ACGCUCGACACCUACGGGGGGCAGCAGUGGGGGAUAUUGCACAAUGGGGGAAACCCCGGAUGCAGCAACGCCGCGUGAAGGAAGAAGGUCUUCGGAUUGUAAACUUCUGUCCUCAGGGAAGAUAAUGACGGUACCUGAGGAGGAAGCUCCGGCUAACUACGUGCCAGCAGCAGCGGUAAUCUGAGCGGGCUGGCAAGGC
rnacentral:rRNA from 1 species